CGGCGUACGGGUGAGUAACACGUGACCAAUCCACCCUUGAGUGGGGGAUAACCUCGGGAAACCGGGGCUAAUACCGCAUAACAUCUUCGGAUCGGAAGAACUGGAGAUCAAAGGGGCAAUUCGCUUAAGGAGGAGGUCGCGGCUGAUUAGCUAGUUGGCGGGGUAAUGGCCCACCAAGGCAAAGAUCGGUAGCCGGCCUGAGAGGGCGCACGGCCACACUGGAACUGAAACACGGUCCAG
rnacentral:rRNA from 1 species